GAUGAACGCUAGCUACAGGCUUAACACAUGCAAGUCGAGGGGAAACGACAUCGAAAGCUUGCUUUUGAUGGGCGUCGACCGGCGCACGGGUGAGUAACGCGUAUCCAACCUGCCCACCACUUGGGGAUAACCUUGCGAAAGUAAGACUAAUACCCGAUGAUAUCCCUAGAAGACAUCUGAAAGGGAUUAAAGAUUUAUCGGUGAUGGAUGGGGAUGCGUCUGAUUAGCUUGUUGGCGGGGUAACGGCCCACCAAGGCAACGAUCAGUAGGGGUUCUGAGAGGAAGGUCCCCCACAUUGGAACUGAGACACGGUCCAAACUCCUACGGGAGGCAGCAGUGAGGAAUAUUGGUCAAUGGGCGUGAGCCUGAACCAGCCAAGUAGCGUGCAGGAUGACGGCCCUAUGGGUUGUAAACUGCUUUUAUGCGGGGAUAAAGGUGGCCACGUGUGGCUGUUUGCAGGUACCGCAUGAAUAAGGACCGGCUAAUUCCGUG
rnacentral:rRNA from 1 species